UACAGAGGGUGCAAGCGUUAUUCGGAAUUAUUGGGCGUAAAGGGCGCGUAGGCGGUUCUGUAAGUCUGGUGUGAAAUCCCUGGUCUCAAUCCAGGAAGUGCAUUGGAUACUACAAAACUAGAGGAUAGGAGAGGAGAGCGGAAUUCCUGGUGUAGAGGUGAAAUUCGUAGAUAUCAGGAGGAACAACAGUGGCGAAGGCGGCUCUCUGGACUAUUACUGACGCUGAGGCGCGAAAGCGUGGGGAGCAAACAGG
rnacentral:rRNA from 1 species